ensembl:lncRNA
GAUGAAGUACUAUUGUCUAAUCUACAGAAGUUAUUCAGAUUUUACAAAUUAUCCAACAAUGUCCAUUAGAGCAAAAGAAGCAGUAGAUGAUGUGUUGCAGUCAGCUGUCAUGAUGCUUGGUCUCCUUCGGUCUGUAACUUUCCUCAGUUUUUCUUUGCUUUUCAUGAUAUUGACAUUUUUGAAAGGUACAAGCCAGGUAUUUUGUAGCUGCUCCUUGAUUUGAAUUUGUCUAAUUUUCCCUUACUAUAAGUUAUACAUUUCUUGGGCAGGGGAAGUGGAGGACCACAGAAGUGCUGUGUUAUAGUAUCUUAUAUUUAUAUUCUCAUGUUUAUAUUGUUAUAUUUAUUUUCUUAUAUUUUAUAGCUACAUAAAGUAUAUAGGUACAUAUUAUAGACAUAUACAUAGGUGUGUUUUUAUAUCUUUCUGUUUUUUAAUCCUCUUAGGAUUUUGUCUUUUCUAAUUGAGGUUCUGAAAUUUCGUUGUAAAUUUCUUCAGGUUUUUUCCUCCUCCUCCUGCUGGAUACUAGGUGGCUCUUCCAAUUUCAGAAUGUCUUUAUUGUUGGAAAAGUACCAGCUAUAUUUUACAAAGAUGCCUCUCCUUCAUUCUUUUGCUUUUCUCUGAGAAUUCCUUUCAUUUGCAAGAAUGCUGAUGUAUUUGAUUUUAUUUGUACUGUCUGUUCUGUCAUUUCUAAAGUUUAGUGUGAGAGGAAGCCAUUCACAACCAGAAACUCUAUUUUUUUUUUUUUUUUUUGCAUGCCAUUAUGCUUCUCUAGUUUCCUUCCAUUUGUGGUCAUGUCAGUAAGUAAAAUGAUCCAAAGUUGACCCCGUUUCUACCAGUGUGAAAUAGCUUUGUGCACAGUGCUGGAAGCUAAAACGUACUAACCAUGGUCUUUGAAACUCUAAACAUUAUUAAUGUCCCUUUGAAAAAGAGCUUUUCCCCACAAGGGUGAAAGACAUGUUAAAUUGGUACUUCUCAACAGAUGUGUAGGGAGGUUGUUGGUAUAAAAACUAAGGUUUGGGAUCAGCGUGGAAAUAUUAGAAAUGAUGGGCCAGUAAACACUUCUAGGUUCUUCCGGUGAAUUCCAGCAGGAUAAAGUUUUUUUGCCCAGACACUACAGCAGAACAAGGGAAAGAACAGAGAAGAAGAGAUCCUGAAAUUCCAGUGCUGGAAUUCAUCCACUCAACCCGGUCAACUCCAUCUUGAAACUCUACCCUGUGGAUUCGUUUCAUGAAUGAUGACCCCAAGACCAAAGACCAGGGAAUCCUCAAAGAAGGAGAUGAAAUUCUCCAAGGACACGUGAUCAAGGACCCAGUAGAGAGGCGACGUGAAGAGCUGCCGUACCUGUGACAGGUCAGAAGUCAGCAGGCUUUUAGGUUUCAUCUGACAAGCUUCACCGGGAAACAUCCGCUGUGCAUGUGAAGUCUAUGGAAGCGGUCCCCUCUGCCCCGUCGCAUCCUCUCACUCAGCUCAGGACUUGAACAGCAGCAGCAUCUCACCUUGGCUUCGUUGCAUUAUACUCCAGGUGGCAGUUCCUCUUUGUUUUGUAUCCAGUGACCUGAUCAUUCUCAUCAGUGAUGGUGCAACUCUCCUCCAGCCGCAGUGUCUGGAACUCAUCAAGGUGACCUAGGCGGACAUACCUGCAAACAGGGUUUUUUGUCAAUCAGUAAACCCCUGUAAAUCAGACUCAUAAACCAAAGGGUUUUGGAAAUCUCUGACACUGGAAAGCUGACAAGUAGAGAAUAAAAAGGAUAAAGUUCUCAUCUCUACAGAAGUGAGAAAAAAACAACCCACCUCUGUGGACUUCAUUCAUCAUUACCACAGUCUGUAUCUCCUUUUAUUUUUUCUAUUUAUGUUUAACUUUGUCUUAUUCCAAGAAGCAUUGUAGGCAAUAUAUGAGAAUUGGAGAAAUGCAAGAUUCUAAUGCUACCCUGUAGGGCCUGGGCCUUGCUUGCUCAGCAAAAGCCCCCAGGCCCAUUGCAACCAUGUGUCCUUCUGGCUUCCUGCUGGGCAGGGAGCCCAGCUGCUGGGAUUUGUAACGAUCUGGGCCUGGCCAGCCUGGAUCCCCCCUUAUCCCACGAGAAGAACAUCGAGUCUUACAGGAAGACAGAGCCCCUCCACGUGAGCUACUGUUCCUGGGAACACUGGUCGUACCAAGGACAGCCCUAUGGCAAGCAUGCAGCCUUUGUUUCUCUGCUUACUUAAGCAAACUUCUCUUAGGGGGCGGUUGCAGGUGCACACUUCUGUCCAGCCAGCUGCCACUGGACACUCCUGUAAGUAGGACCCAGUAAACCUAUAUGUCUC